UACAGAGGUCUCAAGCGUUGUUCGGAUUCAUUGGGCGUAAAGGGUGCGUAGGCGGCGCGGUAAGUCGGGUGUGAAAUCUCGGAGCUCAACUCCGAAAUGGCAUUGGAAACUACCUUGCUCGAGGGUUGGAGGGGGGGACUGGAAUACUUGGUGUAGCAGUGAAAUGCGUAGAUAUCAAGUGGAACACCAGUGGCGAAGGCGAGUCCCUGGACAACUCCUGACACUGAGGCACGAAAGCUAGGGGGAGCAAACAGG
rnacentral:rRNA from 1 species